rnacentral:miRNA from 1 species
GCAGGGACAGCAAAGGGAGGC